ACCCAAUCUGCAUUCAUUGUAAGUUGGAGAGGUCAUCACCCGAGGAGAAGAGGAGCGGGGAUCUUCUCCUCUUUUUUGUGUAUAAUUUGUAGGAUUUGGAGGCCGAUGAUAGUUUCGAAAUAAAGAUGGUAUCAAUAAAGGUACGAUUUUGACUUCGAGAAUCCACAUUCUCAAAGGUGUAGCCAUAUCUGCUGAAGUUCAAAUGGACCAACAAUAAGCAUAUGUUGGUUGACUCUGAUUUAUUUUUGGAUCUGAGAUUGACUUGUUACAAAGCCAAAUAUCGUGUAUUCUAGGUAAAUUUUCUGUUUUGAUUUCUUAGUACUCACUUCUCAGCUAUUGUUGGACCCUAUGCUGCAGCAAAAGUCCGAACUUUUUGGGUGAAGAUGACAGCAUCUUUACUCAUUCCUGUGUUAUCCUUCAAAUGAACUAUUUCUACUCCUGGUCAUCUCAUUUUAUAGGGGCUAGAUUCGUGAUUUUCUGUGGAAGCUGUCCUUGAUAAAUCCUAACCAUUGAUGUCUCUUAAGCAAGCAUAUCUAAUUGGUGGAACAACAUGCAAAGGUCGAAAAACUGUCCGAUCGCAGUAUUUCUUUAAGUACGUAAGUAUAUUUUGAUUUAUUUCCCAACAAUUUGCCUUACUAUUACCUUUAUUGCUUAUGGCUGUGCUUUCUUCAAUCAGAUUGGCUUUUUGAUCUGUUCUUGAUGUUCAACAAGCAUCAAUAGAGCUAGUCAUAUUUUAGAUUGGUAUACUAGAUUAAGUUAUUCAUGUGUUGCUGACCGGUUCUGACCAUAUCUUGAUUUGAAAGUACUGGUAGGUUGUGAGCUGGGAGGGAACCCUCUUGAGUCAUAUUCAGAUUUGCGAUGGAGCACGGGCAGGCAUACAAUGUGACGGAUAAUCGCCUUCUCAAAGAGUUGGUUCUUUUCUCUUCUUUGCGUGUCAGCUUCUCUAGCAAUAGGCGAGGAACUUCUGGAAGUGAAUUCAUAGGAUUUGGAGGCUGAUGAAAGUUUUGGGAUAAGGAUGCUAUAAAAAAAGGUAAUUUUUGGUCUUGCAUGGAUUCUGUCAUCCUUCAUUAUUCUCUAUUUUCCAUCUUUUCUUCAAGUAAUAGUGUGAAAAAAGACGAAGUGGCUUGCUUAGAGGCCAACUAGUGCUGGCGAUAACUUUAAGUUCCAUUUUUGCGCUUCAUUUAUGUAGGAGUUGCAGAAGCCGAGGUAGAAAUUUCUCUAGAGUUGGUAUUAACUAGGGUAAUCUCUUUGGACUUUCCCAUGAUGAUGUCCUUAGUCUUGGUAACAGUUAUCCAAUCAAUCAAUUAUUUAUUCUGGUCCUUUGUCUACUUUUAUUUUUCCUGAUCUUGCUACUUAUCUCUGUAUAUCUGGUGGUAAUUUGAUUCACUUGUAAACUUUUAUGCUUCAGAGGCCUGGAUCAUACUCUAUUGCUAUGUGGUGGUCUAUCGGUUGCUGCUGCAGGAAUUUCUAUACAAUAGUUUGAAUUUGAUUUUCCACUACAACUGUUCAUGAAAUACUCUUUCCUUAUAAACUUAUUACUAUUGUUUGACUACUAGAAUUAUUCCGAAUUUGUUAUUUAUAAGAUUCACUUCUAUUUAUUUGCCCCUUUUUCUUCAUAGCUAUUUAUUUGCCCCUUUUUCUUCCUAGCUAUUUCGUAGUAUUAUUUGCUAAUCAAAUUGGAAAGGGCGGAAAUAAAAUAUAAAAAUUUUAUGCUUUGCAAGUUGGAAGGUCCAUUGUUCUGCAGGCUACUGCUGCAGCCUAUUGGAGACUGGACAAGAUUUUUGGAUCGCUAUAUGCCUUUCCUCCUACUCAACUCUGUAUACCAUUUCUUUUCCUACUCUUCUGUUGGUUGAUUUGUUCAUUAAAUAUUGCACUUUAUUCUUUUAUUGACAGCUUUUGAAUUUAUAUGUUAAGGCCAUUUUCUCCAGAAGGUUGUGAUGAUUCUUGGACCCGGGUUUUGCUAUGAAAGGAAAGCGGCUAUUUUCUUGACGACGAGGCAAUCUUGGAUUUGGCAUUCUUGGCUGUUUGUGGGACUCCGUUUAAUUUGGUUCUGGUGGUUAUGUUCUAUAUUGUUUCGAUGUGCUCUCUCUCCCUCUUUUCAAUUGUUAAUGUUCUGGCUUGUGAAAUGAUCUCUGACAUGCUAAUUCAUGGGAAAUCCUAAACCAUUAAGCUUAAAAGGUUGCUAUUUAGGAUUUCUCCGGAGGCUUAUUUCGUUAAAUGCUAAGACUAGUUCUCUGGUUCUUCAUAUAAAGAGUUUGGAUUAUUUUAUUGCU